UCAUAAAACUUUUCUCUCUGCUGUGUAUAUAAAAAAAAGUGCAGUAUAAAUUACUAAACUUAGAUUUUGGUGGGCUUAAUAGGCAUGUUUACCCUACACCACUUUUGUACAGUGCCAGUAUUUGCCCCUUUGUGGUCUGCCUGUUCGCUUGCCAUUCUCUGGUAACCUCUCAUUAACAUGCCACCAGACUGCCAUUGACUGUUUUUUGUUGCUACAUUGAGGCCAUUCAAGAACUUAUUCUGUUCCAAAAACAGUCAAAUGCAUGAAUUAAGUGCUGCGAUUUCCCUUUAAUGUGGAUAUUUGACACAGUCAAUAUAAAAAUAGACCUGUUUGUCUAAGUAUCUGCUUAACCUGACGACAGCUGAGUUGAGUACAGAGAGCAGCUGGCACUCUGCAGAUACACCAGUGGGACUAGACAGGGCAUUCAUGGAAUAACUUCGGAGUGAUGUGUAGUUCAGAUUUCCAACCGCCUUUAGUCCAACGAUAGCUACGCCAGUCAGUAAAAUCUUACGUGUGCUACAUUUUUGACAUGUACUGUAUGUAACAUUAAAGUAGGUGACUGAACUUGAAUGAAUUGGGCAAGUCCAAAUGUUAAACACAACAUUGCAGUUAUUUGUGUCCUUGGCUUGACCUUAUUCAGACAACAUAUUGGACAAAUUAAAACAAUAAUGUUAACGAGAUGGCGAUGGUUGAAAAUGAAUUUACCGUACACUCACUGUAAACAAACGUUACACGAAAUGUUUAAUUUAGCUUAAUGGUUUGAUAAUUCGAUAUUAUGUUUACGUAACCCAGUGUUAAGAUAUUAUAGUCAGUAGCAAGUCUACGUUUUCCAUAACAACACUAACGAUGGUCGACACUAAUCAGUUUCAAGACAAGCAACGCAAAAUAACAACCAAUCCACGGAUUAGUCAACUAGCUAGUAAGCUAGCUAGGUAGCUAACAUCCUUAGACAACUAGUCUGUAUUAAAUGUACUUUGUCAGUAGUCUAUGGCAAGCUAACAAUUUGCUAGUUAAUGUAAACAAAAGGCAACACUAGCUAGCUUAAGACAACUAGUAGUUAGGCAACGUUAGAUAAUUUCAGGUUAGCUAUAAACAUUCCUUAACGUUUCAUUCAAGACGGUAACGUUAUCAUUAGGUACUACCGUAACUUCACAGUGUGUAGAGUAGUUGUUGACUUGAAGUUAUAGGAGUACUCAACGUCGUUAACCAGUUAGCUAGCUUUGUGAUCAUGAAAGACGAACAGGAUGUGUAAACAUGUGGCUUGCAAAAACAAUGACAGUCAAGGGGCCCACCACUACGGUAUCUGAAGCCCUACCAUUCAAUAAGAAAUUGACAUCCACCAUCCAUCCUUGUACAAAAUAAUCCCAGAAGCACACCCAUGGCCCUGCGAGACUGGGACUGAGCUGAAAGAAAAACACAUCGCUGACCAACUAGUCCACCUGCAAUGGGGAGCUGCCAUGCUUUUUACUAUUAUCUAUUUUUUGUAGCCUAUAUAUUCAUCCCUGAGUAAAAAUG